rnacentral:rRNA from 1 species
UGGGGAAUAUUGGACAAUGGGCGAAAGCCUGAUCCAGCAAUACCACGUGAGUGAUGAAGGCCUUCGGGUUGUAAAACUCUUUUAGUAGGGAAGAUAAUGACUGUACCUACAGAAAAAGCACCGGCUAACUUCGUGCCAGCAGCCGCGGUAAUACGAAGGGUGCUAGCGUUGUUCGGAAUUAUUGGGCGUAAAGCGUGCGUAGGCGGUUUAGUAAGUCAGUUGUGAAAGCCCAAGGCUCAACCUUGGAACUGCAUUUGAAACUGCUAGACUAGAGUAUGAAGAGGGAUAGUGGAAUUCCUAGUGUAGGGGUGAAAUCCGUAGAUAUUAGGAGGAACACCGGUGGCGAAAGCGACUAUCUAUGUCAUUACUGACGCUGUUGCACGAAAGCGUGGGGAGCAAACAGG